rnacentral:rRNA from 1 species
UCCACGCCCUAAACGAUGAACACUAGUCGUCGGGAUGCUAGUCAUCUCGGUGAUGCACUUAACAGAUUAAGUGUUCCGCCUGGGGAGUACGGUCGCAAGAUUAAAACUCAAAGGAAUAGACGGGGACCCGCACAAGCGGUGGAGCAUGUGGUUUAAUUCGAAAAUACACGAAGAACCUUACCUAGCCUUGAUAUCCUUGGAAUCCUAUAGAGAUAUGGGAGUGCUAGUUUACA